GGGCCAGACUGGAUUUGACAGCGGGCAGAAAAGGUAUGUAAGCAUGCAGUGCUUCGUUAGUCUGGCACUUUAAUCUCAGCUUUCAACGUUUUUAACUGGCGAAAAUCAAUACGCUCUCGCUGCCUAGUCGAAGUAUAGUAAGCUAGCUUUAUCGGUCUGCUAGGCAGACCGACGAGACAUCACUCAGAGGCUCUGUUCCCGAAAUACUCUGAACCAGUGGUGUAGGCAAGUCGGGAAUAGCCUACGGUGGCCUCGCACCAAAGGCGAAGUUUUAGAGGAUAAGGUGUAAGUUGGUGGCCUUGGUCUUGCUUACACACGAAAACAAAAGCAAGGAUAAGCAUGUAGAAAGCGUAUUGUUUCCCCGUUUGGACGAGGGUUCAAUCCCCUCCUGGUCCACAC
rnacentral:tmRNA from 1 species